rnacentral:rRNA from 1 species
UACGGAGGAUCCGAGCGUUAUCCGGAUUUAUUGGGUUUAAAGGGUGCGCAGGCGGGAGAUUAAGUCGGCGGUGAAAUUUUGCAGCUCAACUGUAAAAGUGCCUUCGAUACUGGUUUCCUUGAGUGUGGAUGAAGUAGGCGGAAUUUGUGGUGUAGCGGUGAAAUGCUUAGAUAUCACGAGGAACUCCGAUUGCGCAGGCAGCUUACUAAACCAUAACUGACGCUCAGGCACGAAGGCGUGGGGAUCAAACAGGAUUAGAUACCCGGGUAGUCCCU